CUCUUCACAUCAACAUAAACCCAAUAUUGACAUGGAAACAACUUUCUCCACUAAUAAGUAACCAAUUACUUAAUAAUUUUCUUUCUCAUCCUUACUUAGGGUCGUGAUUCUCUCCUGGAGCAUGCAACAGUAUUUCCUGGGAAGCUUGUUGGAACGGGUUAUUGGGCCCCACCAAUGUUUCCGAUGUAGUAGAUCUGGGCAGGACUCAAGGAUUUGGGUUCCCCGGCAAUGCUGAUUCCACUGGUCCAAUAACCACAAUUGGAGAGCUACUGAUUGAAAGCACCUGGAAUGGAUCACUGUCUUCACAACAUGCUGGCUGAUCUUCAGAAAAGUCUCAGCCGUUCAAGACUCAAUUUUACCAUUUAUAAAGCAUGCACCCAGGAAAAGCCAUGUGAGCACACAGCUAGAAGAUAGCUGUCCGUAAGCCAGGAAGCAGAUCUUCACCAGACACUGCAUCUGCCAGCAUCUUGACCUUAAACUUCCCGCCUCCAUAUCCGUGAGAAAUAAACUUUUGUCAUUUAA